AGAACGAACGCUGGCGGCAUGCCUAAUACAUGCAAGUCGAACGAACACUUCGGUGUUAGUGGCGCACGGGUGCGUAACGCGUGGGAAUCUGCCCUUGGGUUCGGAAUAACAGUUGGAAACGACUGCUAAUACCGGAUGAUAUCGAAAGAUCAAAGAUUUAUCGCCCAGGGAUGAGCCCGCGUAGGAUUAGCUAGUUGGUGAGGUAAAGGCUCACCAAGGCGACGAUCCUUAGCUGGUCUGAGAGGAUGAUCAGCCACACUGGGACUGAGACACGGCCCAGACUCCUACGGGAGGCAGCAGUAGGGAAUAUUGGACAAUGGGCGCAAGCCUGAUCCAGCAAUGCCGCGUGAGUGAUGAAGGCCUUAGGGUUGUAAAGCUCUUUACCGAGAUGAUAAUGACUGUAGCCGGAGAAGAGCCCGGCUAACUUCGUGCCAGCCAGCCGC
rnacentral:rRNA from 1 species